CAGUAACUACGGAAAUGACCCAAAAGUAUUCCACAUGCUCCUAAAAUAAACAAAUUAGCAUCACCUAUCUUAUCCUCAUUCCUAAACACCCCUUUUCUCCUUCUUCUAAACUUUCUCUCAACUUUCUCUCAAACCAAACACCUUGGCAAAAUCUUCAAAGGCUUGAAACUCCACUUAAAUCUUCUCCUCUUCCCACAAAAAGAAAUAUAUUACUCUCCUCUCCAUGCUCUUUAAGUUGAUGUAAAUAUUGUAGCUAGAUUCUUAGUAUUUCAAGAUAAAAAUCCCUCUUUUAGCUCCUACAUCUUUCUGUCUCUCUUCUUUCUUUUUAUUUUCUUUUAAAUCAAAGACUAGAAUCAUAUUUAUGAGGUCAUAUUCAUCAUAUUUUUAUAAAUAAAUCAUUUGUUCAUGUGUUAGUUUGUGAAAUCCUCAUUUUCUUGAUUUUAGGAGCUGAAUCCUCCAAAAACAAAGGAAAAGAGGUGAUGGAGGGCUAGCAUUUUAGAGCUUUGUGCUAUUUUCCACUAUUUUCGAUAUUUUUAGGAACUUCUUGCUUAUUUUUAUAUUAUUGUGCAAGAAAAUGUGAUUUUUAUGUUACCUAUACCUUGGUCUAUGCUUAAGAUGUAAUCUUUGGUUUUAAUAUGCUUUAUGUGAUAAUUUUUGCUUGGUGUUUACUCCUAGUCUGAAAAUAUAAGGUUGACCCAUAUUUUUUCAUGAUUUUCAUGUUAUUUUGAUGUUAUGGUGAAUAGCUUUUAUAAUUUUAUAGCGUAGAUGUUAUAUGAGCUUGUCUGUGCAAAAUGAGUAAUUUUUUCUUGUGUUAUGCUUUGGAUAUUUGAUCAUUUAGAUGGUUGUCCCUCUUUGUUAAAAAUGAUUAUCUUGAUAAUUGAAAUAGAAUAUGAUUGUAUUUUGAUAAUAGUGGUAUGGUGUAUGUUCAAAUUGGUAAGAAAAAUACAUUUUGAUGUAUUUUUACUUGAAAUCAAGUGUAGGAGCUGCUACCUUUAACUUUUCAAUUUUAAUAUCUUCGCUUUAAUUAAUUAUUCAAGGUAAUUAAGCAUGUAUUAAUGUGGGUCUUAAGUCUCAUGAAG
rnacentral:lncRNA from 1 species